rnacentral:rRNA from 1 species
CUACGGGACGCAGCAGGCGCGAAAACUUUACAAUGCGGGAAACCGCGAUAAGGGGAUACUGAGUGCCAGCAUAUUAUGUUGGCUGUCCAUCUGUAUAAAUAGCAGGUGUUAGCAAGGGCCGGGCAAGACCGGUGCCAGCCGCCGCGGUAACACCGGCGGCCCGAGUGGUGGCCACUAUUAUUGGGUCUACAGGGUCCGUAGCCGGUUUGAUCAGUCUUCCGGGAAAUCUGACAGCUCAACUGUUAGGCUUCUGGGGGAUACUGUCAGACUUGGGACCGGGAGAGGUAAGAGGUACUACAGGGGUAGGAGUGAAAUCUUGUAAUCCUUGUGGGACCACCAGUGGCGAAGGCGUCUUACCAGAACGGGUCCGACGGUGAGGGACGAAAGCUGGGGGCACGAACCGGAUUAGAUACCCCGGUAGUC